CCCGCGCGGGAGCGCGCUCUGCUGCACUGCGCCUGGGCCGGCGGGCCUGAGGCUCUGGGCGUGGGCGCCGCCGCGCGGGGGCGGGCCCUGGCCUCCGGCAGCUGUGGGCCACUGGCUGCCGGGGGGCUUCGGCCGCCCCACAAGCCGGUAACCCGGUCCUUCACGUGGGAAAAAAACCUUGCGGCGGCGCAGCCACAAGGGCAGGGCUCCGGAGCCGCGCAGCCGGGACUCGGGGCCCCUGACAGUCGGGAUAGCCCACGCCAGCAAAUCCCACUGUCCCGAUCCGAGCCCCCCGGGACCCGUGCCCAGCGACCUGGGGUGCAGCCAUCACCCUGCUCCAGGUACUAGCUUUGGGACGCUCAGGCUUGAAUCCAGAUGUGCAUCGCUCCUGGAAAAAGAAAGACGCACCCCUUCCUCCGCCCUCACAAAGAUCGCCCCGCAGUUUAUGCCUCCGGGGGGACACGCCGGAAAACACGGGUAUCCCAGGUGGCGGCAGAGGAUUCCUACUGCAGUAGCAAGAGAUGCCCCAAGCACUUGACACAGACCGUGGCAGAGCAUAGUUGGCUCCAGCAGAAAUGGCUGGAGCAAAAUGCUCCUGGCAGUUGACAAAGAUGGUUCACAGCUGUGCCUUAAGAGAGAUGCUGUGGCCAACUGACCUGAACUGGUUCUGACUGGACCGCAAGAACACCUGUACGGAUGAGCCCUGGAGAUGCUGAAAACUGCCUUUGCUUCAUCAUUACGUUAAGAUCUCUGCCAAAGGCGAGGACUUGUAUACCCGCUAGGCGAAGUUCCUGCCACGUGCAGAGAAGCAAGGAAGACUGCACCCUCCCCAGUGGACUUCCGCUGCCCCUGGAAGUUUCCACCCCUUUUCUAGAACGCUGAUAACUUGUCUGCCUUCCACUAUCUCUUCAGUUCAGUUCAGUUCAGUUCAGCCGCUCAGUCGUAUCCGACUCUUUGCAGCCCCAUGAAUCGCAGCACGCCAGGCCUCCCUCUUAGAAGUCCCUUAUUCCUCUCAUCUUGGGGAAGAAGUGUUUUUCUAGCAUGAACUCUCCCUUCUUCAUUUCCUGAUGAAGGAAUAAAGUUUCUGCUCUGCCAUUAUGAAACUGGUUUUUGCUUUUUUCCCUUGAUAUUUGCAACUCCGGGCAAAGGACCCCCUGAGAAGUCACCAACCCGUUGGCGACCGGUAACACCGUUAUUUCGGCCUCUGUGUCCCCAUCUCUAGUGCAGCUGUCUUAGUUCUGGCCACCUUUAGCUCUGCUUGAUUUGCUGCUGCAGCCUUCCAAAGGGUUUCUCCAUUUCUUUGCCUCUAAGCUCCACUACCAAACUCCUAACCACAAACGUCCUCUAACAUUUUGACAGAUUUCUUUGUAAAAUGAAAAGCUAGUUGUACCACUCUGCCACUUAAUUUAAGUGAUGAGACAAACUAAAUAUGUUACACCAUUAAUGCAGAGAAAUUAUAUACUUAGC
rnacentral:lncRNA from 1 species